AGAAUCAACGCUGGCGGCGUGCCUAACACAUGCAAGUCGAACGCGAAAGUCCCGCAAGGGAUAAGUAGAGUGGCAAACGGGUGAGUAACACGUGGGUGACCUGCCUUCGAGUGGGGGAUAACGUCCCGAAAGGGACGCUAAUACCGCAUGACAUCCUGCUUUUUAAGAGGUGGAGAUCAAAGCCGGGGAUCGCAAGACCUGGCGCUUGAAGAGGGGCCCGCGCCUGAUUAGCUAGUUGGUGGGGUAACGGCUCACCAAGGCUUCGAUCAGUA
rnacentral:rRNA from 1 species